AUGGAAGCCCACGAGGCUGUCAGCUUUGAAGGGACCCACGGCAGCAGAAGCCUCUGCAGAAGUCCAGGCUGCCAUCAGGCGCCUCUGCACGGGUAUCUCAGCAAAUCAGCAAAUCAGAUGGUGGCGGCGGGUUCAUGUCAGACAGGGAUGCCACGUGCAGCUUCAGAUGGUGGCGGCGGGUCCGUGUCAGACAGGGAUGCCACGUGCAGCUUCAGAUGGUGGCGGCGGGUCCGUGUCAGACGGGGAUGCCACAUGCAGCUUCAGAUGGUGGCAGCGGGUCCGUGUCAGACGGGGAUGCCACAUGCAGCUUCAGAUGGUGGCGGCGGGUCCGUGUCAGACAGGAUGCCACAUGCAGCUUCAGAUGGUGGCAGCGGGUCCGUGUCAGACGGGCAUGCCACGUGCAGCUUCAGAUGGUGGCGGUGGGUUCAUGUCAGACAGGGAUGCCACGCGCAGCUUCAGGUGGUGGGGGCGGGUCUGGGUCAGACAGGGAUGCCACAUGCAGCUUCAGAUGGUGGUGGCGGGUCUGGGUCAGACAGGGAUGCCACGCGCAGCUUCAGAUGGUGGUGGCGGGUCUGGGUCAGACAGGGAUGCCACAUGGAGCUUCAGAUGGUGGCAACAGAUCCGGGUCAGACAGGGAUGCCACAUGCAGCUUCAGAUGGUGGUGGCGGGUCUGGGUCAGACAGGGAUGCCACAUGCAGCUUCAGAUGGUGGGGGCGGGUCCGUGUCAGACAGGGAUGCCACGCGCAGCUUCUGACAAACCCUACAGAAGUAUCCCAGCACAGCCACCCAGUGUUUCAGAGAAAAAUCAUGCCCUCUUCUGAGAGUCACCAUUUUCCUUUGGAGAUGCAGGUCCUGGCUUCCCACUGGGCCUCGGUAGGGACGGAGGUAUCAGGUAACCAUGUGACCUACUGGUCAUGAAUGAAACAAUGCAAGAUUCACCAGGCAUUAAAGCUUACCAUUCCUGGCAUCCUGCCACCGUCACUCCAGGUGGAGGCUACAGCACAGUCUCCCUCCUCUGGGAGGGCCUGGGACCGCACCCUUCCUGCUCGCUCAGGUGGCUGCCCACCUGUGCCAUGCACCCACAUCCACGCCACCCAGGCCCAUAGCACCCACACCCACGGCACCCACACCCACACACCCACGGCACCCAUGCCCACAGCACCCAUGCCCAUGGUGCCCAGGCCUGCACCACAGCACCCAUGCCUAGGGAACCCAUGCUAGGGCACCCAUGCCCAUGGAACCCAGGCCCAGAGCACUGUCACUUCUCCUCCACAAGCACCAAUGGCCUUCCAGGGCAUUCCCAGCCACCAGGAGACUGAGGAAUAAAACACUCACCCUCAGUUUCCA
rnacentral:lncRNA from 13 species